rnacentral:rRNA from 1 species
UAGGGAAUAUUGCAAAAUGGGCGAAAGCCCGAUGCAGCAACGCCGCGUGGGCGAUGAAGGCCUUCGGGUCGUAAAGCCCUUUUUGAGGGGAUGAGGAAGGACAGUACCCUCAGAAUAAGCCUCGGCUAACUACGUGCCAGCAGCCGCGGUAAAACGUAGGAGGCGAGCGUUAUCCGGAUUUACUGGGCGUAAAGCGCGUGCAGGCGGAUUGGAGAGUUGGAUGUGAAAGCUCCCGGCUUUACUGGGAGAGGUCGUUCAAUACUUCCAGUCUUGAGUGCAGUAGAGGGAAGUGGAAUUCCGGGUGUAGUGGUGAAAUGCGUAGAUAUCCGGAGGAACACCAGUGGCGAAAGCGGCUUCCUGGACUGUAACUGACGCUCAGACGCGAAAGCUAGGGUAGCAAAC